GGGGUUGUGGCUCAGUGGUAGAGCACUCACCUAGCAUGUGUGUGGCCUGGGUUCGAUUCUCAGCACCA
rnacentral:tRNA from 1 species